GACGAACGCUGGCGGCGUGCUUAACACAUGCAAGUCGAGCGGUAAGGCCCUUUCGGGGGUACGACGAGCGGCGAACGGGUGAGUAACACGUGGGUGACCUGCCCUCCAGCUCUGGGAUAAGCCUGGGAAACCGGGUCUAAUACUGGAUAUGACUCCAUGACGCAUGUUGUGGGGUGGAAAGCCUUGUGCGGCUGAGGAUGGGCCCGCGGCCUAUCAGCUUGUUGGUGGGGUGANGGCCUACCAAGGCGACGACGGGUAGCCGGCCUGAGAGGGCGACCGGCCACACUGGGACUGAGACACGGCCCAGACUCCUACGGGAGGGCAGCAGUGGGGAAUCCUGCGCAAUGGGCGAAAGCCUGACGCAGCGACGCCGCGUGAGGGAUGACGGCCUCGGUUGUAAC
rnacentral:rRNA from 1 species